UCAAGGAUUAGGUAUAUUAUACCACCUUGUUUGUGGUACAAAAUUUGUACUCUGGUCCCAGAUGAAGAAAUCCACUACACUAAAAAAUUAAGUAGAUAAUUAACAAAUGAACAAUAAAGUAAUUUAAGUGAUAUAUCAUAAAUAUAUCACUUAAAUUACUUAAAUUAUGUAGUUAUGAGUCUGUGUGUAAAUAAGCAAUGAGGAGAAGCUGCAUUUGGUUACGUCUUGCGCGCCAACAUCGAGCCCACAGCGAGCAAAAUGAGUAAGCUCAGGGGCCUCAUGCAUACGCACAAAAAAUAUGCUGCGCCAUAUUUUACGCACAAAUCGGCAUGUUUAAAAAUUAACUUUGCGUCAAAGUAAGCGUAAAUAUACGCACUUUUUCCCUGGCGUGAAAAUGUGCGGCAAUACACUUUUUCUGUGACAAACUACAAAGUGUCAAAACUCAUUUAAAUACAUUGAAAUCUGACUACAUUCAGAGUUAUUUAGACCAAAAAGCAUCAAACCCGAUGUUUUUUCAUGAUUUUAAUAUUUUAUUGUUUAAAUGUAAACAAUGAAACUGAACCGCAUUUAUCCUCAGACAAUAAUCUAACACGCACACAAAAUAAAGAAAAUAAGGCUUUAUACAUCCGGAUUUGUUUGUGCGCCGCACUUUUCUAAAUUUGUUCUCAGGGAAAACCCCACACGCUGCGAUAAUCGGACCAAGAUGAUCCGGUUGAAUAUGCCCAAUUUUAGAUCGGAGCGACAAUCUUAGAACUCGGAAGGUUCUAAGAUUCUAAGGGGGGAUCUAAGGUUCUAAGGA